rnacentral:rRNA from 1 species
AUGGCACCGUCGUUCUGGGGCCCCGAGUUCCCCCCGCAGCCGGCGGCGGUGUUCGAUGACCUCGCGCUCGUGGAGGCGGAGGACGCGUACGAGGACGAGAUGGAGGAGGAGGGCGAGGGGGACGAGCAGCAUGAGCACGGCAGCGACGGGGAAGUCGUCCCGAUGGACAUCGAGGACCUGGAGGAGGCGCAUCUCUCCUGCGGCUGCGGCCGCAACCUGCUCACCCUGUGCUUCCGGGGCGUUGUGCACAUCUUCAUGUCCGCCUCCCCUGACAAGGUGUCGGAGGUGGAAGCUGCACUUUCGCUGCAGGGGCGAUUGGAUCCGGCGGACUCUACCACUGUGCCGCCCGCCGCGCGCAACACGCUCACCAUGAUCUUCCGGGGCCAGGAGUGCAGUUUCGACUCUGUAACCCCUGAUGAGGUGCAAGAUGUACUUUUGUCGCUCGCGGGAAGGGAGCUGAUGGUCCCUAGGAUUGAGCUCAAAAUGGAGUUCCUGCACGGGAGCUACGACUUCGACUCUGUAUCCCCUGAUAAGUUGCAAGCUGCACUUCCGCUGCUGGGGGGAAUGGAUCUGACGGUCUCUACGGCUCUGCCAUGUGCCAACAACCAGCUCACUGAACCCUUGAUAUGCUGGAUCGACGUGUUCGACCCUGUAUUCCCUGAUAAGAUGCAAGCUUUACUUUCGCUGCUCGGGGGAGACGAGCUCAACCCAGGCAUUGGUGGUGGAGCAUCACCAUCAAUUCCAUACAGACUAUUUUUACAGUCUAUAAACCAUGUUUGUGGUGGCACCAUUGAUGAGAUUUAG